GACGUAGGGCGCGAGCGUUGUCCGGAUUUAUUGGGCGUAAAGAGCUCGUAGGCGGCUUGUUGCGUCGGCUGUGAAAACCCAUGGCUCAACCGUGGGCUUGCAGCCGAUACGGGCAGGCUAGAGUUCGGUAGGGGAGACUGGAAUUCCUGGUGUAGCGGUGAAAUGCGCAGAUAUCAGGAGGAACACCGGUGGCGAAGGCGGAUCUCUGGGCCAUUACUGACGCUGAGGAGCGAAAGCGUGGGGAGCGAACAGG
rnacentral:rRNA from 1 species